rnacentral:rRNA from 1 species
ACGUAGGGUGCGAUCGUUAAUCGGAAUUACUGGGCGUAAAGCGUGCGCAGGCGGUUUUGUAAGACAGAUGUGAAAUCCCCGGGCUUAACCUGGGAACUGCGUUUGUGACUGCAAGACUUGAGUGCGGCAGAGGGGGGUAGAAUUCCACGUGUAGCAGUGAAAUGCGUAGAGAUGAGGAGGAACACCGAUGGCGAAGGCAGGUCCCUGGGUUGACACUGACGCUCAUGCACGAAAGCGUGGGGAGCAAACAG